rnacentral:lncRNA from 1 species
GUUUUAAAGCUGCAGAUAGCCUGUAAGUAGCAGGGAAAUGCGCCACUUAAGCUUCAUUAACCCUGAUGACAGUAUGGGAGGCUGACCACAAACACACAAAAAGGUUAUAAGUUGAAGAAAUAAGACCAGUUUCCAAAUAAAUGACAAAGAGCUUGGUAUUCCUGCAGGCAUCAGAAUCACCUGGAGGAGGAGAUGCUGCUGCUGGUGGUGGCCCAGAGACCACACAUUGAGAACCACUGCUCUAGAAAACCAUUUGUCUUUGCUGAUGGAGAAACCUGGCUCUAAUAGAAGGGCUUGUAUGUGUCCAGGAAGUCUAGUGAAUUCGACCAUGAAUCCAGACAUGGCCAGUGGCUAAAUCCUGUGGGAAGACACUGUGCUUCUCUCUGACCCAUGAACACUCUGCUAGUCAAGCUCUCUGUCACAAAGACAACUUGAAGAGACAGAGUGGACCUCACAGAAGAUACCAUCGUCACUCUUACCAAUGCAACUGUGGUGAACAGGACCACUAUUAUUCCUUAGAUCAAAAGGACAGCACAUUCAACAGCAUCCUCAUGGCAUGCCAGCAAUUUGCAUAGGAUGUUCACAAUUAAACUUUGAUUAUCUAGUGCUUUGUGGAUGUAUUAUGUAUUACAGAAAUCUAUUUGCAACAUGGAGG